UUACGGUCAAAUCACGCUGAAAACACCGGUUCUCGUUCGAUCACCGAAGUUAAGCAUCGUAGAGCCAGGUCAGUUUGACACAUCGUAGAGCCAGGUCAGUACUUAGAUGGGGGACCGCUUGGGAACACCUGGUACUGUAAG